ACCCGUCUUGAAACACGGACCAAGGAGUCUAACAUGUGCGCGAGUCAUUCGGUCUUGUUUAGGCCAGAAAGGCGUAAUGAAAGUGAAAUAAGCAAACAGUAAUAAUACUGUUUGUGUUUUUGUUACGAUCCUCAACUCAUGUAUCGGUUGCGCGCAUAUACAUGCAUAUGUAUGUAUGUGUGUGUGACUAUAAUUUGAGGCGCAGUAACGGCCUGCCAGUUUCGCUUUUUUGACGAUAUGGCAGAGUUGUAGCGUACACGUUGGUACCCGAAAGAUGGUGAACUAUGCCUGGGCAAGACGAAGCCAGAGGAAACUCUGGUGGAGGUCUGUAGCGAUUCUGACGUGCAAAUCGAUCGUCUGACCUGGGUAUAGGGGCGAAAGACUAAUCGAACCAUCUAGUAGCUGGUUCCUUCC
rnacentral:rRNA from 1 species